CCCGCCCGUUCCUCUCUCUCCACACCUGCCCGCAAGCUGAAGGAGCCAGCUCCAGUCUCAGCCAGCCCAGGAAGCGGCUCCCACAGUGCAGCGGCGGGCUGAAGCGCUCCUCAAGUGCCGCCAAAGUGGGAGCCCAGGCAGAGGAGGCGCCGAGAGCGGGCGAGGGCCGCAAGGGCUGCCAGCAUGCUGUCAUCUCUCAAGAGCUCCCUCAGAGGCCUAUGUAAGGCCCUACCUCCUUCUGAAAAUACAUUUCUUAAGUACUGUACUAUGAAGCAAAUACUACAUGAAGACUAAACAACGGUUAUAUUAAUAUGAUUCUGAAAUCAGGUGAAGUUACUAACCAAGAAUGAAAUAAACCUACCAGAAAUAAAAAAUAGUGCAAAAAAUCUUUUAAGAAACUUGGUUAAAUAAUAUUAUUUUAAGGAAAACAGGCACAGUUGUAAAGCUUCAGCAAUGUUUUAAAAAAGUGUUAACAUUUCUUUAUUGUCUCUUUAUUAUUUCUCCCACUGUUUGCACCUCAGCCUCCUUAAAAGUAGCAAUUCUAUCUAGGCUUUAAUUUGCUGUAUACAGAUAAAUAUAUAUGAUUAACAACAAUAUUAUUGGGCUAGAAUAACCCCUGUUUUCUCUUUAAUCUAAAAAUCCACUGACUGACGUGAACAAUAGCAACAGAGAAAAAUCAGUUGGCCUAUGAACCUUUGCAACCAGGAUCUGCAUUGUGAAUGCUGUGUAGUGUGUGUCAUUU
rnacentral:lncRNA from 10 species